GGAAAAGAUGCUGAGAGAUCUAGAAUUGAUGAAUCUGAGACGAAAUUUAGGAAGAUUUUCCCAGAAUCGGUAGGCCAAUUUUGAGCAUGUUUCAAUUCAGUGGAACAUUUUCUUUAGGUUUUUGUAUAUUAGUGACACAGGCCAUUUCAUUUUUAGACGACAACUCUGUUACAUGGACUGAACCUAUUGUCGCAAUCAGGCAAUUAGUUACAAAGCAGACACUAGCCUGGAGUAUUUCAAUUUUAGUUCACAAUUUCAUAAUGACUCACCAAAUUAUUCUUUGGUGCACUGCUGACAUAUUUGGGCUUAAUGCCUCACAUUUUUUUAUUUUUCAAUUUCUAAAUGUUUUAUUUAUAUUACAUAAUUAACUUCCUAAUUAUAACAGAAACAUAUUUUCUUAGUUUAAAUUUGAAAUUACACCCUGAAAAGUGUAAUCACGGGAUAUCAAAAAAAACUUUUAUACCCUACCAUCCGAAGACGAGAUUAUAACUCCUAAGGGAUUGUUGGUACUUUUGCAUGCUAAUGUUUUUAGGUAUGAUACUCCACCAAAUAAACUAGUUGUAUUUAUUAUCUUUUUAACCUUUGCAUUAACUAAUGCACAAACUAAUCAAAAGAAGAAUUAUAGUACAAAUGAAUGAAGGAAUAUAAUUCUUGCCGCAAGUUUAUCUUUCUUCUCUGUUUCACACUAUCCUUACACUACUCCAUCAUGAUUAAUCAUCCAUAUGUGAUUUCUUAAACACCAUGUGACCCGAUUCAUCCUUCUCAAAAAGCCGUUCAAUCAACUCGUUCCAGUUCUCUUUCAACUUGCUUUUCCCGGAAGAACCGAUUGAAGAUUCCCCACUCGAUCUUUGUGAUUCUUCUCCUUUGGAUCCUUCCUCCGUUUCAUCAAAAGUUCCAUACUGAGAAGGUGAAUAUGCAUGUGGCACAGACAGUGUCACUGCCCUUUGCAGUGCAGCCCUGUACUCCUCUGUAUGUUCUCGGGCCAAAGUCUCCUGCCGCUCCAUCCUCUGCUUUGCUGGGAUCUCCAUGAUUUGAUCUUUCUCUAGCAUUAGCUGAGUUUACGGUAAGGUGUAAGGAUAAACAAAAAUUUCUAAAGGAUUUCAACUGUCAAGAAAUUAAAUGAAUGACAGGGUAAAAGCAAGUGUGUUUUUUUUUAGGUCUCCAGUAGAACUAUAUAACUAUUUUUAGUCUCCACCAUACACUCAAAGCAUACAAAGAAAGCAUUCCAUAACAUCCCCUCUCUCCCCCUUGCUCCCAAGCACCAUCUAUCAUCUUAAAAAUAAGUAUUAGAUUUAAAAAAGAUAAUGACCUCAGAAAGACUUUGGCCAUUUACGCCAGAAAUCAGUUAUAUAUUUAAAAAAUGCAAUGAAGUUCUUGUUCCAUCACCAAAAUGACAUUAAUCACUCGAGUUCAAGAGAUCAGAACAACAAAUGUUCAGUAACAACUUGUAUUGCUGAAAAUACAAGAAAAGAGUUAAUGAAAACGAUGGAAAACGUAAUUUAAAUGUAUAACCAAAUGUUUACGGGAAAGGACCAAAUUCACAAAUCCAAUUGGAAAACAAAAGUUAAAUUCGAGAAUUUGAAAUAAAACAUAAGCUGUAAGUAAUUGGAAAUUGAGGUGAAAACUAAGAUAGGUUUCUUUACCUCUCCGCAAAACAGCUGGAGAACAGAGCUGCAGCUGUGAGCGUCGCCGCAAUAACAAGAACAUAAACAGGGAAAGUCAUUAAUGGAUGAGGAAAAGAUGCUGAGAGAUCUAGAAUUGAUGAAUCUGAGACGAAAUUUAGGAAGAUUUUCCCAGAAUCGGUAGGCCAAUUUUGAGCAUGUUUCAAUUCAGUGGAACAUUUUCUUUAGGUUUUUGUAUAUUAGUGACACAGGCCAUUUCAUUUUUAGACGACAACUCUGUUACAUGGACUGAACCUAUUGUCGCAAUCAGGCAAUUAGUUACAAAGCAG
rnacentral:lncRNA from 1 species